AAGCCUACGGGGCGCAGCAGUAGGGAAUUUUCGUCAAUGGGCGCAAGCCUGAACGAGCGAUGCCGCGUGAGUGAAGAAGGCCUUCGGGUCGUAAAGCUCUGUUGCGGGGGAAAAAAGGCAGCAUCAGGAAAUGGGUGCUGACUGAUGGUGCCCCGCCAGAAAGUCACGGCUAACUACGUGCCAGCAGCCGCGGUAAUACGUAGGUGGCGAGCGUUAUCCGGAAUGAUUGGGCGUAAAGGGUGCGUAGGCGGAUUUUUAAGUCAGCGGUAAAAUGUCCGGGCUCAACCCGGGCCGGCCGUUGAAAC
rnacentral:rRNA from 1 species